rnacentral:siRNA from 1 species
UCACAGACCUGUUAUUGCCUC